AGCAGGGUGGCACAGCAGAAUCGUGCUGGGUCCAUAAUCCUGAGGUUGAUGGAUCAAAACCAUCCUCUGCUA